GUUUGGUGGUUCUGUUGGCCAGAGUGCACCAGCACCAGCCGGGGCUGAGACAGACACCCAGCAACCCUGUCCCGUUCUCCACCGGGCCAAGAGAAGCCACAAGCCCUGCUCCAUUCUCAAGGGCUUGGACCUGGAAUAAGGAAAGCACUCAGGGGUAGUGACAGAGAAUCCAAAGUCUCUUGAGGGUUUGUGGACACUCGUGCCCGCUGCCAUUCACUGCCACUCACUGUGGAUGCUGGGGAAGGGGGAAAUGUCGGUCCCCAAGGGGAGCAGAGAUGUUAUAGAAGAUCUACAGCCCAGCCUUCAGCCCCCCAAGUGAGGCCAGAGCCAGAUAUUUAGUGCUGCCAUGCAAUCAGACACAACUUUGCCCCGCCUGCCCUAAGCCAUUUCAGUUUCCACUUUUCUCACUGACCCAGCUGUGAGUCCAACAUUUCUUCCUCCCAAGCCCCG
rnacentral:lncRNA from 1 species